rnacentral:rRNA from 1 species
UACGGAGGGUGCGAGCGUUGUCCGGAAUCACUGGGCGUAAAGGGCGCGUAGGUGGCCCAGGAAGUCGGCGGUGAAAGCCCGGCGCUCAACGCCGGGUCGGCCGUCGAUACUCUUGGGCUCGAGCUCACUAGAGGCAGAUGGAAUUCCGGGUGUAGCGGUGGAAUGCGUAGAGAUCCGGAGGAACACCGACGGCGAAGGCAGCGCCCUGGACGAGACCUGACGCUCAGGCACGAAAGCUGGGGGAGCAAACAGG